CUCGAGCAACGUAUCGAAUAGUCCUUUGGGUCAGGGGAAGGGCAACCCAGGGUACUCUCAUCAAAGUCAAUCCCUACUUAGCGUCCGAUGCUUUCGAUGCCUUCAUUCCGGGUCCUUCUCGCACUAGCGUUUCCAACUCUGAGGCUGCCCUGGAGAUGCCGCUCACCUCCGGCCCUCCUUUUCCGCAGCUCCCAAAACUUGGACUCGAACCGACACGCCUUCAAAGACGUGAGGCUGGAGAAGAAUGAAUAAAGAAACUUGGUCAGAUCUACCUAUCACUUCCCUAGUCUCUAGGUUGCCGGAAGUUCCGCUGUGGCGCUAAGAGAAAGAAAGAACACAAAGAUGAACAAGAAGGGCCCCCGGAUCAAGAGAGAACUCCAGAAGUGAGCAAGAGGAAAGAGAGUAGUGGGGCCCCGCCAUGGAUUUAAAAUAUAUCCCAACGCCAUUUUGCUGGAAGUUCCUCAAAUUCCAUUUUUGCAAAGCCAACGGUCCCGAGCCUGAGCUUGGAGAGACCAGAUGAAAUGAGAUGUUUUUUUGAGUCUUGAACAAACUAUUCCUUACUUCGUGAAAACGAAUGACAGCAGUCACGGAAAGGCUCAGAAAUCCCCCCCAUGUUGUGCAUUGAUGUCCCUUACAUUGUCUUGUUUUUAUGUUUCUUGAACUUUCACAGUGACUGAAACACAAUGCUGCUGCUGCUGCUGCUGCUAAGUCGCUUCAGUCGUGUCCGACUCUGUGCGAUCCCAGAGACGGCAGCCCACCAGGCUCCCCUGUCCCUGGGAUCCUCCAGGCAAGAACACUGGAGUGGGUUGCCAUUUCCUUCUCCACUGAAACACAAUAAAUCUCCACAAAUUGUAUUUACUGAUAACC